AUUUCCCAUUACAUUCAGCAUCUGGCUCAUAUUCUCAAACAUAUUCUCAAAGCUAUCAUUUUCAACUUUUUAAAAAUAAAUAUUUUGAUCAAUGGCAGCUUCUUCGCCAGAUCCACCAUCAAGACAGUGACACUAAUAUUUGCACAAAGUAUUUGCUCUGCAGUAAAAUGCUGGGCCAUUUCAAGUAGAACACAGAUAGAACAAAGAAAAUAAAAAGUGCUUUAAGUUGUUCAGGGAGGUCUAACAGUAGUAUUCAGUAAUCAAAUGUAAAAUAACAGUGCAUAGUCUUCUUUUUAUAAACCCUUAUUAAAGUUACUCAGUCAAGAGCAGUCAGUGAUUUUCUCUGUAUCUUUUGUUGUUUGAAUUAACAUUAAGGACUCAGACAGCAGCAGCAAGUUUAGGCUACUGUCACUUUAAGAACUAAUGCACGGAUAGAAAUGCGAUUUUCUCCCAACUGGAGAAAAAAACGACUGUUUAAAUGAAUACAAUAUAUUUUUUUGUGUGUAUUUAUCCUUUCAUGUGAAAGAGAACUCAAUUCAGCACUGGUAUGCUGUGAUAGGCGGCUUUCGGUGUGCGCGCUUCAUGAAAACCGUCCCGAAUUGAGUUCUCUUUCGCGUCGUCUUGUGCUUAAAUAGUUUAAAAUUUGAAAUUGGCAAAACGCGUGCAAAUGCAUGAUAAAGCUGUCCCGGGCCCUUAUUGUCGAGCCUUGUAUUAUUGUACAUUUCUUUGGGCCUGUUUACACCUGGUCACUUCAUGUGUUUUUACUGAUCGGAUAGCAUGAUGAUCUGAUUUGUUUAAACAGUUCCAUUUACACUUGGCCAUGUAAAUGCGUCUCC